rnacentral:lncRNA from 1 species
GACUACACAAAAAGAAUGACAGCCUAUCUUCUUCAAAAACAACAAAAAUUCCCAAUUCCAAAAGAAGAAGAAAAAACGGUAGCCGUGAAUCUUUGAAUCUUCCAAUAUCUACAUUUUAAGAAAACGGUAGCACCCCUAAUUCAAGAGAGUCGACGGCCAUGACCUGUCAACUUUAGCAGCAAAGUCUCAUGUAUUAAUUUGAUUCUUAAAACAUUUUAAGAGAUUUUCUUUCUGGCACUUUUCUUUGGAUCUUCGAAAGGCAAUGAGAGAAGAAGAUAAAAGAGAAAUAAUUCAUUCACUAUGAGAAGAAGACAAAGAAGAAAUAAUUUAGAAGCUGAUUGAAAUAGCGAAUGAAAUAUCACGCAUUAUUGAGUUCAAAAAUUCAGUGAGAACAGAAGAAGUGAACGGACGGGAUUUUUCUCGUUCUGAUUUCGGAUUCGAAUCCUUUUGAUUUUCACGUCGAAUUCUGGCUUCUUCUGAUUUUCGAUUCGGAUUCCUAUCUGAGGUGUUAGUCGACGUCGAGUUCGUUGGUUCAAAUCCCUCUAGCGAUUUGUUGCUAUUUUCGUUCAAAUUUUUAUUGCCGGAUUCAUGUGUACCUGCUGAUUUUCACAUAGUGACAGAGUUAGCUUUAACAGCCACAGUUUCGUUCUUUUUGCAUGUGUAACUGCUGAAUAUUUUGAGAAAUCGAAACGUCCAUUUCAGUGAUUCUUGUACAACCAGGUAUUUAUUUUGUAUUUGAAGUAUUCAUAUGUUAGAUAUAAUCUGUUGCUUAUGGUGUAGAUUUGAUUUAGAGUUUUUUUCUUGUUUAAUUUUGUUGGAUAUGCUUUAAUUGUUCCAUAAAUUAGUCUACCAGUUUGGUUUGUUUAAUUUGCUUUGUUUGAAAUUAGUUCAAGACCUCUAAAAAUUAGUUUAGAUGUCUUACUGUAUUCCCGGUUCAAUGCGCUCAUGCAAAUGAGGAAUAUUUGGGAAUUCUAACAAAAUAUUUUGUUGAAAGUAAACGUUUUCCAAGGUAUAACAUUGUUUAGAGUUUUUUUUAAGAGCUUAAGUUGUGUUUUAAAUUAGUGUGGACCAAAGAAUCGAUUGGGUCAACAACCAUAAUCUAAUUUUGGUUUGGUAAAUGUUCCAAGUUUGAUGGUUAUUCUAACUUUGGAGUUAAUAAUGGACAUGAAUAACGUGCUAGCCUAUUGUCCCUAUGUAUUCCAUAAUUAUAAUAAUCAAAUCUUAUACCCCUCCAAUAAUUCCAUAGCCCAUGGCCUUACAAUAAUCUCAAAUUAGCUUUAAGAAUAUUAAUCCAUGAACACUCGUAGUUUGCUUUAGGCUCGACUUAGAUUAUUAUUGUGAUUAUGUAUAUGUUCGCGUAACAUAAUCGCGAAUUUAAUUCUAAAAAAAGUAACUCGAGGGAUGCAUUCGCGCAACUUCAACCAAACGUUUCUUAAUAAAAUAAACAAAGCGUUAUUAAUUGUGAACACGUUCGUGUGAUAUGAUUUUUGACACGCCAAAGGAAAAGAGUAUACGUACGUGUAACUCGAUUCUUUAAUUACGAAUAAUCAAGCAUUAAAAGUGGUGAAAGAUAAAUGCACAUAGAUCCUAAAAAUAAGUAGUUAAACAAUUUAAGCCAAGUAUAAAUCGCUAAGCGACCGUGCUAGAACCACGAAACCUGGGAAUACCUAACACCUUCUCCUGGGUUAACAGAAUUCCCUUACUUAGAAUUUCUGGUUCGCAGACUUUUAAAUAAAGUCGAAAACUUCCUCGAUUUGGGAUUUAAAAUAAAUCAGUGACUUGGGAAACCAAAUAAACUAUUCCAAGUGGUGACUCUGAUAAAUUAAAUAAUCCCAUUUCGAUUAAUUUCACUUUAAUUGGAAAAACUCCCAUAUAUUCCUCGGGGUAGUAAAAAGGAGAUGUGAUAGUUCUGGCGACUCUGCUGGGGAUCGAACCUAGAAUCUCUGGUUCAGGGUUCAAGAAUUCGAGCUUGUUAAUGUGAUUUUUAUUUGGCUUUAUUGUAGAUAUUACUGUAUUUUGUGGACUUAAUGUGUUAAUUGUCAUUAUCGCUUUGAUAUUACUUGAACUGUAUUUAAAUGCCUUCUUAUGCCUCCCUUCCGAGUCUUCUAAAAAAUAUGUGCUCACGUUCGCGUGACCCACUUUUCUGUUAGAGUUAUACAAAAUAGAACAGGGCUGGGCAAGCAACAAGGCCGGGAAGACAUUUGUACUCCCGGUACGUUGCCCCCUCCUCGACUCGAGUUUGCCCGCUUGGGUAAGCCAGGUCUAGAACACAUCCCCAGGUUUAAAUCUAGAAUAACAAAACCUCAUGCCGGAUCCCUAGUAGGAAUGUUUGUUUGCAUCACGUGCAUUUGACUUUGGGGACUCAACACAGGGGUUGGGUCCAUCUAGAACAGGUGUACCCGAAAGAAAAGACCAUCCUGAUGCAUCUUACGUGCUAUUUGUACAUUUAUUUGUCUCGGCUUGUAUGUUGAUCGGAUAAAGAAAGAAAAUCAAUAGAAAAACCAAGAGUAAGCUAGGAUAGAGAAUUUACCCGAUUUUUGAAAAUACCGGUAUUUGAAAAAUGCCACGAAACUCUGCCAAAAUUUUUGAAAAAAAGGAAGGAAAAUGUGUUUCAAAAAAAAUGAGUCAAAUAUCAUGUUUUUAUGUCAAAAUUGACCAAACUACGUAGGUCUGAUUCUCACCGGAUGUGAGAUAUGUAGGCAACCCACAUAAGGUUCAGCCUCAUUUUUUACAAAAAAUAAUCGAGUAAAGUGUAGUUUAGGGCUUUGGUCAAAAGAAUAAGCUGACCCAGCUUCUGUUGUAUUUUAAGCCGUUCUUACCGGAAUAGCCUUAGAUUACCUUUCAAUUGUCGAAAGUCUAUUUUCGGGAAGAACGGGCAAGUUUGUCUAAAAUGUGUUUUUCCAAUAUAAUACUUUCCCCCGGCCUCAAAAUUUGUUUGGAAUUGCGAAGGGGCCACAUUUGCAAAAACGACCAUUUUUGCUAAAGUAGCAUAAAAGGGGGUCUUUGUCCGUUGAUUUUCUUUAGAAAUUGAAAACUUGUUUUGCAAAAAGAGUCCAUAAGAGUCAACCCUAACCUCAGCCCUCCACGGGUACAAAUGAAUACUGUCCAGAACUCAUCACCAAUGAAUACUGUCCAGGACCCCUCGCAAAUGAAUACUGUCCAGGACCCGUCACAAAUAAAUAAUGUUCAGAACCAGUCACAAUCUGUCAUAGAACGAGUUCAGUUCCAGCUUCGUAUGUGCUGGAAUGAUUUAGAUAAAGAUGGCCAGGAUUAGGUGAAAAAGCAGUUGGGUUCCCUUAUAGACAUCAUGAGCAUCAAACCCCGGGAGGAUUUGAUCAAAGCCUUGGUAACCUUUAGGGAUCCUGUCCACAACGUGUUCUGUUUCUCCGAUUUCAAGCUUACCCCUACUCUAGAGGAAAUGGCCAGAUUCAUUGACUUUGGUCAAGAGUUGAGGAAGCAACAACUCAUAUUCCCAAGGGCUCCCUCUGUGCACAAAUUCUUCGAUCUUCUGAAUAUUAGUAAAUAAAUGAAGAAGGCCCAUGUAAGCAAAGGUUGUUGUUCUUUCUACUUCUUAUACUUCAGAUUCGGGCAUUCGGCUGGUUUUGAAACACAAGAAAAAGGGCUAAACAACAAACAAGAUAAGAGCUGGCAAAUUCAUCGUCGGUUCACUUUUAUCAUGGCAUUUUUAAGGAUCAUGGUCUUUCCAAAUGCGGAAGGGACAAUAGACACUCGUAUGGCCAGAAUUGCACAACUCCUUACUACCAAGGAAGGUCACGCACUUGUUCCGUUAGUGCUGGCAGACAUUUAUCGUGCAUUGACAUUGUGCAAAACCGGGGCUUAAUUCUUCGAGGGUUGCAAAAUUCUUCUUCAAAUAUGGUUGAUCGAACAUAUCCGCCGUCACCCCAAGUUCAUGAGUUACGAGGUGGAUGGGAACAACUUCAUAAUGAGUCAUGAGGAGAGGGUAAAAGAUUACAAAACUCCAAAAGGUUUUGAGGCUUGGGUUUCCCACUUAAAGGCAAGUCAAAUUGAAUGGAAUCUAGGGUGGCUUCUGGUAACAGAAGUCAUAUACAUGACAACUUCGAAAGGCUACUUAAUGAUGAUGGGCCUGAGGAGUAUCCAACCAUAUGCACCGCAAAGAGUUCUAAGGCAACUGGGAAGGUAUCAAGUGGUACCCGAAGAUGUAGAUUUGAGUACCCAAGUCAUUGAGCUACACCCAGAAGCAACACUGCCUGAGGCUUUAGUCCAACGGGAUUGGAAUGGUUGCCGAUAUCUGAAAAGUGACACCCAUGUGCCGGAUCUUGCGAGAGGAGAAGUGGAUCCGGAUUAUGCUGCAUGGUUUGAGAGAAGGUUUUGUACAAAUGAUGAACCAGAGCCUGAGCCCGAGCCUGAGCCUGAAAGGACCAUCAAGAGACCUCAUGUUCAAGAUUUUGAUGAUAAAAUUCAGGAGAGGUUGGCUUGGGGAGAGAAGGAGAAAAAAUAUCAAGCCACCAUUCGCGCUAUGCAAGUAGAAUUGAGAAAUGUCGUAUUCAAUAACGAUCUACAGGCACAAGAAGCUGAAGGUGAAAGAAGAAGGUUGGUCCAAGAAAAUGAAGCUCUCCGAGCCUAAGUUCGGAAAAUGAGAAUAUCAGCUGAGAACCCGGGGCAGAAGUAGAAAAGAUGAAAGGCUCAUCUACAGCCUGACGCAAAAAGUACGUGACUUUGAGGAUGAUUUGCAAAAGACUGAGUCCGAGCUAGUAAAAGUACGAACAAAGUUGGCCAAAAAUUUAGAAGAACGAGCAACUUUCGUUUGACAAUUGAAGGAAAGAUAUGACAAAUGGGUCAUGGGUUGGAAAAAAGAGCUUAAUAGCCUUGAGGUCGAAAUGACUAAACAAGCCAAGAACUUCAAGGCUAAGAGGGAGCAGUGCUACGCUUUAAUGGCAAAACUAGAGGGGGAACUACCUCACUUGCAAGAAUAGAAUCAUACGGCCACCCGGGUUUUGGUGGCUAGAUCUCAGCAGAUUAGGCAAUUAUUGCAAGAAAAGGGCAUCAUCAGGGAAAGGGUUAGAAGAAUCGCCGACUACAUUGUAAUGAAGUGCAACGAGUGCGAGGACAUGACCAGGUCCAUGUUCUUCGCCACGACCAUGAUCUUUGUUUGCCAGAUAAUGGAUGAUCUCUAUCGCCUCCAGGAUGACUUGGCGCAUAGGCCUGCAGUAAGACCAAUUGGUGUUCCUAAGGCAGGAUUGGAGGCACUGAUGUCCUCCUGAUUGUUUUCUCUUUUUCGAGUAUGUAUUUUCAUUCCUAAAGUCUAUUUCGAGUCUGUUUUAGUUUCUAUUUCUCAAGUAUGUAGGAUCGAGUCUUUGUAAUAGAGAAAAAUUAGAAGUUUUGUUUUAAUGAAAUUUGAAAAGAAAACCAAAUAUGUUUUAUUUAUUUUGCAUUUAUUCCUUGAACUACGUGAUAAUCUGAUUCACUCGACGUUGUGAUACGUAGGAAAUCCUCAUUGGAUCCGGUCAUGAUUUUUAAAAUAAAAGAUAAAAUGUGGAAAAGAGAAAACCAAAAAGAAAAACCAAAAAGAAAAGAGAGAAAAACAAGGAAAAGAGAAUAAGAGGGAAAAUAAGAAUGUAAAAGAGAGCAAGAGAAAGAUCGGGGAGAUAAACAAAAGCUAGGAUGAGACAUGCAAUCGUUGCAAAACUUGUAGAAAUACAUUUAACUGUAUAGGUGCAUCACACCCCAAUAUGCGAUUCCCUAUGUGUUAAUUGCUUCAAACUAACCAGUUUGUUGUCUACUGUUGAGUCCAGGUUAUGUUUUUAAGGUGGUUGGUUUGUGGUAACCUGGCUUUACACCCAUACUUUACAAGAUCUAAGGGCAGUGUAGAAAUGUCGUCAGAAGGUCAUCCACCAAAAAUUCCCAUCCCAGAGGAUAGCCCACUAUCGGUUAUCCCAACCUCAGAGUCAGCGGCAGCUGAAGAGAAUAGGGCGCUGCGCCUCCGCGUGCUGGAAAUGUAGGAUGCCUGGUCCAAUGGUAGAGAGCCACCAAGUGCCAUACCCGGUUUCCCCGAGUUACUUCCUAGAGCACGUGGAAAUUCUAAUGUCCCAAUAAGUUACCCAAAUACCCCAUUUAGGUACCCCACCAUCUCAGCUCACUUCACCGGAACACCUUCUGAGGUUCGCCCCCAGGUAGUUUCGGGAGUGGCCUCCAACAUAUUUACCGCACCGCCAACCUCGGCUACAGUACAACCAACUGUACCCAGGCCAAGAUUUGAUCCAUCAUCUUUCACUUUCCAAGUACCAUCUUUUCCACUAGAACCUACCCAUUUCACCACCAAUUAUUACCCUCAACAACCCCGGUACGAGUUUACCGCGGGGCAGGAGAAGGCUACAAAGAGCCCCGAGCAAGAGGAAAUCGCUCGGAAAAUGAGAAGCAUGGAACAGAGCCUCAAGAGUAUACAAGGCUUGAGCGGACAAAAGAGCAUAUCCUACGCUGAUCUAUGUAUGUUCCCACAUGUGCAUUUGCCCCUGGGUUUCAAGACCCCAAAGUUCGAAAAGUAUGACGGGCGCGGGGAUCCCAUAGCCCACCUCAAGAGAUAUUGCAAUCAAUUAAGAGGGGCAGGUAGAAAAGAAGAACUCCUAAUGGCUUAUUUCGGAGAGAGUCUAGUUGGUAUUGCAUCUUAGUGGUACAUGGAUCAGUACAUAUCUCGUUGGCACAUUUGGGAUGAUCCGGCUCGAGAUUUUGUCAGGCGGUUUCAGUAUAACAUAGACGUAGCUCCCGACAGGAAUUCUCUAUUGAAUCUCAAGAAGAAGUCAUCAGAAAGUUUCCGAGAAUAUGUUAUUAAAUGGCGCGAACAAGCGGCCAGGGUCAAGCCCCCGAUGGAUGAAACGGAAAUGGUUAGUGUUUUUCUACAAGCCCAAGAAGCUUACUACUUUCAGAAUAUGAUGUCUGCAAUGGGGAAAUUGUUUGCUGAGGCCAUCAAGAUUGGUGAGAUGGUCGAGAAUGGUCUGAAAACAGGGCGCAUAUUGAGCUAAUCUGCCAUAAGAGCUACAUCCCAAGAAAUUCAAAGCGGGUCCGGAGGUGUAACGAAUAGAAAGAAGAAGGAAGAAGUGGCGAUGGUGGCUUCAGGUCUGAGAAACCCUCGUCCACCCAGAGGUUACGUCCCUCCAAGCGCACCACAACAUUAUUAUCCCCACCAGGAUGUGGCUUAUGCUAUGGCCCCCCAGCCUUACGCGGUGAUAAAUGCCUAGCCAUACGCUCGGCCUCAGCAACAGUUUAACCAAAAUAGAGCUCCACUUCCUAGAAAUAACCCUCCUCACCAAGCUCAGUAUAAUCCCCUACCUCCACAAAAUAACUUCCCCUACAAUGCCCAUGCUCAGGAGCCACCCAGGAGAACAAACCUUAUGCCUAUUGGUGAGUCAUAUUCUAGCCUUUUCCCUAAAUUGGUCCAAAUGUGUUUGUUGCAACCCGUACUCCUGAAUAGACAAAACCCCGAGUCACCUUCCUACCGACCCGGUACGCAAUGCACUUAUCAUUCUGGGUGGAAGGGCAUGACACCGAAGACUGUUGGACUCUCAAAAGGGCGAUUGAGAACUUGAUAGAGCAGAAGAGGGUAGUACUGAAAGACGAAGAAAUCCCCAAUGUGACCAACAACCCAUUGCCGGCUCACAAUAACGGGAUAGUCAUUGGGAUGAUUUGUGAAGAUAAAGAGUUUGACCCAGCUCUAAAAGCCAUCAUUUCCAUAGCCAAUGUGAAAAAGAAUCCAAAGGCUACCGCAAAGCAAGAUAAGGGGGAUAAGAAGAGUAAUUCCACUCCUCGAAGUGAAGAAAAGAUUGUGGAUACCGAAACAGGGGCAGUCCCCCCUAAAGACGCCAUUCUUUAUGUUCCCCGAGCUCACAGGAAAGAACAAUUGAUGCUGAGUCCUCUUAAGAGGUUCGAGCUAAACAAGGGACCCAAGAUGUAUGUACCUAAAGGGACAUAUGUGGCGCGGGGGUCAGUAAUUUCACCCAGGUUGAGCGAGACCAUGAUCAUUAGUCGCGCACCGCAAAGGCCUAUAAAAGACCCCACUGCAGUUUGUUGGAGCUACAACAGAGCAAUUGUGACAUACAAAGGGAAAGAAAUUGCAGGGAAAGUAAAUGAAACCAAGCCAUCUAGGAAGUACCUUAAUCUGGAGGAAGUGAACAAUGCCAAACAAAAGCGCUUCCCACUCAAGAAGCCCGUCAGUGCUGAGGAGGCCAAAGAAUUCUUCCGUAAAAUGAAAACUGCGGACUAUGAAGUAAUAGACCAACUAUGAAAGUCUCCCGCUCAGGUCUCGCUUUUGUCACUACUGAUAAGCUCGACUGAGCAUCAGAAAGUGUUGAUAAAGACCCUCAAUGAAGCUUAUUGUUCCGAUUGAAACCACUUUCGAACAACUGGAAAGGAUGGCAGAAAGAUUCUUUGCAGUCAAUCAGAUUUCCUUUAGCAAAAAUGAUUUGCCCCCGGAAGGGGCCGCCCACAAUAAAGCCCUCCAUAUGGCAGUUAAAUAUGAGUGGUACUAUGUGAAAAGAGUCAUGCUGGAUGGCGGAUCUGGAGUUGAUAUAUGCCCUCUCUCAACUUUGCAAAGAAUGGAGAUUGGGACUGAGAGAAUCAGGCCUAUCAAUGUUUGUGUGCAUGCCUUUGAUGGAAUCAAGAGAGACACCAUAAGCGAGAUUAAUUUGAUUUUGACUAUUGGUCCUAUGGAUUUUGAGGUGACAUUUCAGGUCCUAGACAUGGACACUUCUUAUAAUUUCCUCUUGGGAAGGCCUUGGAUUCACUCGGCAAGGGCCGUACAUUCCACUCUCCAAUAGAUGGUGAAAUUUGAAUAUGAAGAUCAGAAGAUUGUAGUCCACAGAGAAGAUGAGCAGUCAAUUUAUCGGGACCCGUUAGUCCCAUGUCUCGAAGCUAGGGAAGGUAGCGAGCAUAUAGUCUAUUAAGCUUUCGAGGUUGUGGUCGCACAUUAAUGUGCGGAGGGAAGCCCGUGUCCUCAGCCCUUUCUGUCAAAUGCAUCCAUCAUGGUCGCUACUGAAAUGAUCAAGCAUGGCUAUAAGCCUGGGAUGGGACUCUGGGCAUCAUUGCAAGGUAUCACAUAACCUAUCACUUUAGCUGCCAGUGAGAAGUUCUUCGAUAUGGGUUUUCAAGCCACGACAGCUGAUGAAACAUGGGCAAAUGAGCGAAAGAAAAAUGGUUGGGUUUUGCCUCAGCCAAUCCCACAUCUUUUCAAGAAUGGUCCAGCCGGAAAAAGGCUUGAGCACCGCUGAGGUGCUGUUUGUGGGGCCCAAUGCCAAGUUGCAAAACUGGAAGGCUACCCCGUUCCCAGUCAGGCGGGAAUCCUGGUAGUCCAGUCUUGCAACCUUUUCUACAUCAUGAGUCGUUCUAGGGUGUAACUCGGAUGUUUCUUUUAGUUUACUGUCUUUAAAUUCCAAUGUAAACUCUAUUAUCUUCAAAAUUCAAUGAAAUGAAAUCAAUAUUUCAUCGUCUAUGAAUUUCUUUCUUUAUUCUUUCUGAUUUUUUUACUUUUCUUAUUUCUUCCUUUCAGUUCUAAUAAUGCGGACUUAAAUACCUGACAUGCUUGUAGACUUCAUGCCCAGAUCAUAGCACGCUGUCUAACUGUGAAAUAAUGAAUCAAGAACCGGAAUAUGAUGAAGAAGAGGUUUUUAGGGAAAUAAAUCGAGAAUUGGAACAAUUCGAGAAUAAACCUAAGCCAAACUUAAAUGAAACCGAGCUGGUUAAUUUGGGUAGUUCUGAAGAGGUCCAAAAAACCAUGAUAAGCAUUCAUACGGAUGAAAGAACUAGGGAUGCACUGAUCCAACUUUUGUUUGAAUUCAAAGAUGUGUUUGCUUGGUCCUACGAUGAUAUGCCAGGAUUAAGUGUUUAUCUAGUGUUGCACAAAUUGCCAACUUACCCCGAUUGUCCCCCUGUCCAGCAAAAACAAAGAAAGUUCAAAACUGACAUUAGUGACAAGAUCAAAGAAGAGGUCACCAAGCAGUUGAAAGCAGGUAUGAUCAGAGUGAUCCGAUACACCACAUGGUUGGCUAAUGUAGUCUCAGUGCCAAAGAAAGACGGGAAAACCCGAGUGUGUGUUGACUAUCGGGAUUUGAACAAAACAAGUCCCAAAGACAACUUUCCUAUACCAAACAUCCACAUCCUCGUUGUCAACUAUGCCAAACAUGAGAUACAGUCUUUCGUGGAUUGUUAUGCUGGAUAUCAUCAGGUCUUGAUGGAUGAAUAAGAUGCAGAAAAAAUAGUCUUCACCACACCCGGGGGCACCUAUUGUUACAGGGUCAUGCCUUUUGGUCUAAAGAAUGCCGGUGCAACGUACAUGAGAGCUAUGACUACCAUCUUUUAUGACAUGAUACACCAAGAAAUCGAGGUGUAUAUGGAUGAUGUGAUCAUUAAGUCCAAGACACAGUAUGACCAUGUUCGGGACCUGAGAAAGUUCUUUGAGCGUCUGCGCAAGUAUGAUUUGAAGCUAAACCUGGCUAAAUGUUCAUUUGGAGUUCCGUCUGGGAAACUCUUGGGAUUCAUCAUCAGUCGAAGAGGCAUUGAUCUAGAUCCAAUAAAGAUAAACUCUAUUUGGGAUUUGCCUCCUCCGAGAACCAAGAAAGAGGUUAUGAGUUUGUUGGGAAGGUUGAACUACAUCAGCCGAUUCAUUGCUCAGUUAACUUCCACAUGUGAGCCCAUAUUCAAGCUGUUAAAGAAAGAUGCAGCGAUUAAAUGGACAGAUGAGUGUCAAGAAGCCUUUGACAAAAUCAAAGAAUAUCUGUCGAACCUGCCAGUCUUGGUCGCACCCGAAUCGGGGAGGCCUUUAUUUUUGUACCUGACAGUCUUGGAGAAUUCUUUCGGCUGUGUCCUCGGGCAACACAAUGUGACCGGGAACAAGAAGCAGGCAGUAUACUAGCUGAUCAAGAAGUUCACUAGCUACGAAGCCAAAUACACUUUGUUGGAAAGGACUUGCUGCGCCCUAACUUGGGUCACUCAGAAGCUUAGACAUUACCUGUUGGUCUAUACCACUUACCUCAUCACCAGGAUGGAUCCUUUAAAGUACAUAUUCCAGAAGUCGAUGCCCACCGAGAGGUUGGCAAAAUGGAAAAUCCUGCUUACCGAGUUUGAUAUAGUCUAUGUCACUCGCACUGCAAUGAAGGCCCAAGCUCUAGCGGAUCACCUAGCUGAAAACCCUGUUGAUGAUGAAUAUCAGCCUCUGAAUACCUACUUUUAGGACGAGGAAGUGAAUUCAGUUGAGGUCAUUUCAGAAGACACCAAUGCUUGGAAAAUGUUCUUCGAUGGAGCGGUGAAUGCAAAAGGUGUCGGGAUUGGGGCAAUCUUGAUCUCACCCACUGGUCAACACUAUCCAACCACAUUCCGGCUUUGGUUUUUCUGCACAAACAACACUGCCAAGUAUGAAGCCUGCAUUAUGGGUAUGAAUAUGGCAAUCGACCAAGAUGUGGAAGAAUUGAUAAUCAUGGGAGAUUCGAAUCUGAUUAUCCGACAAGCUCAGGGAGAAUGGGAAACUCUGGAUGUCAAGCUUAUUCCAUACAGGCAACAUGUGGAAGAUCUUAGCAAGCAGUUCAAGUCAGUCGAGUCAGUUACAUUCCUCGUUUUCACAAUGAGUUAGCCAAUGCACUCUCUACUUUGGCCUCGAUGUUGCCAUAUCCAGGCAAUGUCCACAUUGACCCGUUGGAAAUCCAAAUUUGAGAAAGGCACGAUUACUGCAAUAUGAUUGAGGUGGAACCAAAUGUUCAGCCAUGGUAUCAUGAUAUCGAGAGAUUUCUGAAAAUGAAAGAAUAUCCCGAGCAAGCCAAUGGAGACCAAAAGAGAACCAUUAGAAGGCUUGCUAGCGGUUUCUUCUUGAGCGGCGAGAUCUUGUACAAAAGGACUCCAGAUCUUAACUUGUUAAGAUGUGUGGAUGCCGAAGAGGCCGGAAGAAUCAUGCAUGAAGUACACGCAGGAGUGUGUGGACCCCAUAUGAAUGGAUACGUCCUGGCAAAGAAAAUCCUUCGAGCAGGCUACUACUGGAUGACCAUGGAAAAGGAUUGCUUCAGCUUUGUCCGAAAAUGUCAUCAGUGUCAGGUGCAUGGCGACCUGAUUCAUGCACCACCUACAGAACUGCCUCAUAUGUCAGCACCUUGGUUGUUCGUUGCUUGGGGUGUGGAUGUCAUUGGGCCAAUCGAGCCAAAGUCUUCAAAUGGGCAUAGAUUCAUAUUGGUUGCCAUUGACUACUUUAUGAAAUGGGUUAAAGCAGUCACUCUCAAAGCCAUCACUAAGAAAGCAGUGGUGGAUUUCGUGCACUCCAAUAUCAUCUGCCGUUUUGGUAUUCCUACGACUAUCAUUACGGAUAAUGCUGUAAACUUGAAUAGUCACUUGAUGAGGGAGAUAUGUGAGCAGUUCAAGAUCACACAUCAUAAUUCUACCCCUUAUCGGCCCAAAGCCAAUGGUGCUGUUGAAGCAGCAAACAAGAACAUCAAGAAGAUUCUUAGGAAGAUGAUCCAAAGUUCCAGGCAAUGGCAUGAAAAGUUGUCAUUUGCAUUGUUGGGAUAUCGCACAACUAUGCGCACAUCAGUCGGAGCAACCCCCUAUCUAUUGGUUUGUGGCACCGAAGCCGUGAUACCCGCAGAAGUUGAAAUCCCUUCUCUUCGGGUCAUUGUUGAAGCUGAGAUUGAGGACAGUGAGUGGGUCAAAACUCAUCUAGAACAGUUAACCCUAAUUGAUGAAAAACGGAUGGCCGCCGUUUGCUCUGGGCAGUUGUAUCAACAAAGAAUGGCUCGUGCCUACUACAAAAAAGUGCGGCCUAUGAACUUUGAAGUGGGGUAAUUCGUUUUGAGACGUAUUCUCCCGCAUCACAAGGAAGCAAUAGGAAAGUUCGCUCCAAACUGGAAGGGCCCAUACAUUAUCAGAAAAUUGUUGCCGAAAGGGGUGUUGUACCUGGGAGACAUUGAAAGAAAUGACCCUGAAACUGCUGUAAAUCCAGACGUGGUCAAAAGGUAUUACGUUUAACCCUUUUGCGGUAAUAAUAUUAUCCGAUUGGGAUGAUGAAGGCUUUCAUUCUUGCAACCCCAAAACGUUUGUAAAAAAAUCAAAUCAAAACAAAAAUAAAAACAAAAACAAAAGUUUCCCUGAACUACGUUCGACUUGAUUCCGAAAGGAUACGUAGGCAGCCUCUCUCUGGGGUUUAGUCACACCAAAAAAAAAUUCAAAUUCCCCCAAAAGUAAAACUGGGGCAAAUGUUAUAAUAGUUCGGCGACGGUUCACCAGAAAUAUUCCAAAGUUGUAAUUCAAUCCAAACUCUUUUUACCCUAAAUCUUGUUCAAGUCCUUUUGAUCAAGUGAUGAGAAUGUUCGAGAAUCGGAGAAUGCGGCUGCUUGGAUCCGAUACAACCAGAUGAGAGAAAUAAAAUAAGAGAGUCUUAUUGGUGAAAACCCGCACGGGCACCGUAAGGCGAUGGUAAGCAGAGAAAUUAAAAAUGAGAGAGUCUUGUUAGUGAAAACUCGUAAAGAGCACUAUAAGGCAAUAGUGAGAAGAGAAAUGAGAGAGGUCAAUUGGCGAAAACCCGAAAAGGGCACCGUUGAUCGAGAAGAAGGAAUCCCUUACAACUAUUGGCACUGAAAGAGUCCUGGCAAGGUUUCCCGGUUUUAAAACACAGGUCAUAAUGGGUUUAUGAGAAGUUGGAUAGUUGCAUAGAUCGGGUAUCCAGUCCAAGAAGCAUGUCAUGUCUAUUGAAGUCUGCAUGUACUCCAGAUAAGUCCUUCUUUCCUUCCCCGAAUGGGACACUUCUCUUUAAAUUCAUUUUCCUAUCCUUUCUUUACUUUUCUUUGAAUCCCUUUCGGUUUAAUCCUCCUCCGAAACUAAUACAAAAAAAGAUGGCAAGAUUGGUUUUACAGGGUUCUGCUUAGCAAAAGCAAAGUUUAGGAAAAGGCACUCAGCCUCAGCAGGUGCAUCAAGUCGUCCUUGACUGGCCAUGAUGGCCGAUGCUCUAGAGUCAAAAAUUCUUGAAAAGGAAGGAAUUCAAAGUUAAGUGCCCAUAAAGGAAAAAUGAAAUGAAAAACCAAGCCCUACGGGUUAACCGUCAUGUGAAAUUUUGGGAAAAGUCAAGAUACUCGGUUUUAGAAGAGAAGUCGGUCUCCAGAAAGCCAGCAAGUAGUAAAGGAUUUUAGCAAAAGGGUUGGGCCGAGAUCAAAUGAUCAAAACAAUCAAGGCCACAAACCAACCGCCGUUUCAAACUGACAAAUUGUUCUUUAUUUUGAAAAUAGGUGCAAUCUAAGAUAAACUCACAAGAAGCAGGUGCAAUAAAAGCAAGGUGCGCAGAGACCAGAAUGGUCCUGCAGUUGAAGUUAACCCAAAAAGGGAAGUCCCUUUCAAACUCUUCAUGCAUUCUCUUAAAUAAAGUAUUAAAAGUGAAAUGAAAACAAGAAGAAGAAAAAUUAGAAAAUCAUGGUAGCCUAGGGUCCCCAAUCUUUAGCUACGUUCUUCCAAUAUAGGGUCCCAUUCCCUAGUCACUCUCAGCAUAACCUGGUAGUCUUUUCUAUUAUAGGGUUCCACUCACUAGUUAAUCCCCAACAUAACCCAAGGAUCUUUUUCUUUUUCGGCAUAACCCGAUGACUUUUCCGGCAUAACCCGAGGACCUUUUUCUCUUUUUCAGCAUAACCCGAUUACUUUCCCGACAUAAACCGAGGACCUCCUCGGCAUAACCCGAGGACCUUUUCCGGCAUAACUCGAUGACCUUUCCCGGCAUAACCUGUGGACCUCCCUGUUAUAACCCGAGGACCUUUUUCUUUUCCGGCAUAACCCGAUGACUUUCCCGGCAUAACCCGAGGACCUUUUUCCUCCCCGACAUAACCCGAGGACCUUUUUCUCUUUUCCUGCAUAAACCGACGACUUUCCCGGCAUAACGCGAGGACCUCCCCAGCAUAACCCAAGGACCUUUUCAGGCAUAACCCGAUGACCUUUCCUGGCAUAACCCGUGGACCUCCCCAGCAUAACCCGAUGACUUUCCCGGUAUAACCCGUAGAUCUCCCUGGCAUAACCCGAAGACCUUUUCUGGCAUAACCCGAUGACUUCCCCGGCAUAACCCGAGGACCUUUUCCGGCAUAACCCGAGGACCGUUUUCCUUCCCGGCAUAACCCGAUGACUUUUCCGGCAUAACCCGUGGACCUCCCAGGAAUAACCCGAGGACCUUUUCUUUUCCGGCAUAACUCGAUGACUUUCCCCGGCAUAACCUAUGGACCUUCCCGGUAUAACUCGAGGACCUUCCUACCUUUUCGGCAUAACCCGACCAUUUUUCCAGCAUAACCUGGCAAUCUUUCCAAUUUAAGGCCCCCAAUCCCUAGUUAAUUUCAUUAUAGAUAUAGGGCUCCGCUCCCUAAUAUCUUUUUCCCAAGGAUACACCAUCCUGAUUUUAAUUGCUUUCAAUAAAGAAAUAGUUUAGAUUUUGUUACAAUAACUCACGAAAUUUUCCUAGUGAAAACUGAGGCAGAAAAAUUUCGUUCGUUUGUUUGUUUUUGUGCUUGAGUAGGUUUUUACCUUGAUGCACAAGUUUCGAGGUGACCAAAAGAAGAAGUCUCGAUUGAAAUGAAAGAAAAGAAGUGAAGUCUAAGUGUAGAAGCGGAGAAAAGAUGUGGACUGCUCAAGACAUGAUUGAAGUCACAAGCUUUGCAUGUCCCGCCUUCAUCCGAAGAGCUGAAGAAAAAUGAACCAGCAUUCGCAGCUAACGAGCAUCAAGAUUCAGAUUGGAGUCUGCAGGAAGAACCAGCCAAGACUCAAGAUCAAGCUUCAGAAGAUUUAUAGAUAGGAAUCUUUUAACUCGUAGCUGAUAGGUUUAGUUAGUCUUUUUCAUUUUGAUGUAAUAACAGGAUCGCGGACUAAAGCCUCGAUGGAACCUCACUUGACUCUCGAACUCAUCACUCCAUCAUCCUUCUAGAACUACACCGACCUGAUUCCUUCAUAGCCAAGGAUAUGUAGGCAACCUCCG